CCAGGGCCGUUGCAUCCCAAGUAGGCUGGGUUUCCUCAACUGCCAACUCUCAGGAAGAGAGAGAGAGCGAGCUCGCCUGUGUCCCUUCUGGCCCUAUGAUGUCCCAUUUCCACCUUUUCCCUUCAGUUCGUGAUUCAUGAGGGCCUCCUGUGUGCCAAGCACCAGGCUAGAUGGUGGGAACUUAGCCACUGUCUUCCCAGUGCAAUCGAGAAGACCGUGAGAACCUCCGAGACCAUGAGAAUCCGGUGGCAUGUGGAGCCUCCCACCACCACCUAGGUCCUGAGAUGCAGUGAAGCCCAGCCUGUCUGCCAUCAUCCCCCAGCAUGGACCGCGGGAGCCUCCUGCCCUUCCAGCUAUGGUGCCCCCGGCCCUUUGGCACCUACUCACAGAACCAGCCACGCCCGCCUUCUGCGGCCCUCAAGCCAUCAGCCUGCCCUGAGCCUGGUGGCGGGGCCGAGCCAGACCAUGGGCCUGCCCACUCAGAGAACACACCACCUGCCUUGGCCACUGAGGUCCCUGCCUCCCAGCCGGCUCCGCUCCUCUCAGCAGCAGCUGCUGGUGAUGAGGGUCGCGUCCUCCUGGACACGUGGUAUGUCAUCAAGCCCGGGAAUACAAAGGAGAAGGUGGCCUUCUUUGUGGCCCACCAGAGGGGUGGGGGCAGCCGGGCCAGC
rnacentral:lncRNA from 1 species